CAGUAGCCGCGGUAAUACGAAGGGUGCAAGCGUUAAUCGGAAUUACUGGGCGUAAAGCGUGCGUAGGCGGUGAGUUAAGUCUGCUGUGAAAUCCCCGGGCUCAACCUGGGAAUGGCAGUGGAUACUGGCUCGCUAGAGUGUGUCAGAGGAUGGUGGAAUUCCCGGUGUAGCGGUGAAAUGCGUAGAGAUCGGGAGGAACAUCAGUGGCGAAGGCGGCCAUCUGGGACAAUACUGACGCUGAGGCACGAAAGCGUGGGGAGCAAACAGGAUUAGAUACCCCCGUAGUCCCUGUCUCUUAUAC
rnacentral:rRNA from 1 species